CCCUUAGAUGUUCUGGGCCGCACGCGUGCUACACUGAGUGGAUCAGCGGGUCAGGUUGCGCGAAAGUGUUUCCUAAUCUUUAAAUCCGCUCGUGAUGGGGAUUGACGGUUGCAAUUUUCCGUCAUGAACGAGGAAUACCUUGUAAGCGCGGGUCAUCAUCCCGCGCUGAAUACGUCCCUGCCCUUUGUACACACCGCCCGUCGCUCCUACCGAUUGAGUGGUCCGGUGAGGCUUUGGGAUUUGGGCGGAAAGAGCGUUUCGCUGUUUCUGCCCGGAAAACUCAGUCGAACCUUAUCAUUUAGAGGAAGGAGAAGUCGUAACA
rnacentral:rRNA from 1 species